UAUCAUGCCUGACCCUGAGGACAGUGAUUCCCCAUGGGGUUUGCAUCAUUGUUCUCUAGUUCACUCUCCCUGGGGCAUGUGCAGAGUUUCAACUUCUUGUUGGCUUCUCUCUUCCACUCAGGAUUUAAAACUUUCAAACUUGAUUGUUUUUCCUUCUGUCUCUUUAAUCCUAAUACCAAGUUUUCGCGGCAUCCAUUAUCAGCCAUGGAGUCUGUUGCACCUGAAUUGUUGCUCACAGCAGGUAAUAAGAGAAGGCGACCUCCUGGAAUUUCUGAGCCGGACUUUGUACUCAGGGUUACCUUGCUAAGCCCCGUAUUUUCCAGCACUGCUCUUAAUAAUUAACGGCCCUCAGUUCUGCACACACCGUCAGACCCCUGAGCAGAGCCCUGCACUGUCAGGUUUCGGCACCAACACAAAGGCUCCCUCCUCUCUCCUAUAGAGGGCGCUCCAGGGAUGGUGGGUGUUGCCCCAGACACCAGCAAUUCUGCCAGACCUUGCCUGGGGUCCAUGGGAACUCAAAAUGCCACUCAUUUCCUCCACAGGACCAGAUGCCUGAGCUAGGAGAGCCCUCAUUCCUGCUGUGAUCCUGCCAUGGAUACCUGGCUCCUAUGUUGGGCAAUUUUUAGUCUCUUGAAAGCAGGACACACAGAACCUGAAGUCACCCAGACUCCCAGCCAUCAGGUCACACAGAUGGGACAGGAAGUGAUCUUGCGGUGUGUCCCCAUCUCUAAUCAUUUCUACUUCUAUUGGUACAGACAAAUCUUGGGGCAGAAAGUCGAGUUUCUGGUUUCCUUCUAUAAUGGUAAGAUCUCAGAGCAGUCUGAAAUAUUUGAAGAUCAAUUCUCAGUUGGAAGGUCUGAUGGAGUACAUUUCACGCUGAAGAUCAAGUCCACAAAGCUGGAGGACUCAGCCAUGUACUUCUGUGCCAGCAGUGAAGCCACAGCCUUGCAAAGACACCUCCAGCCUGCUCAAAAACCCUCAUAGAUCUGCCUCCCUCCCAGCCGCCAGCACCCACUUCCUGUCUAAGAAAAGGAAGUCUCUGGUUGGGUUUGUUCUUGCUGCCGUCUCCAAAUAAACAGAUAUCCGAAAUU